ensembl:lncRNA
AAACGGGGCGGGGCAACAAAAACAUAGUUGCUCUUUAAUAACGUUAAACGUAACACGAAUGCAAACUUUUUUAAAAACGCUUUAAUCGUGUUUUUGAUCCAUUGUUUGCUUAGUCUUCCAAGAUAGGAAGAAAAAUACGCUUCCUGAUGGAGCUCAACGACCUUUUCUGGGACAGAGCGAGAGUUUCACACGCCUGGGGUCACGACCUUGUCACCUUUGACCUUGAUUUCCAAGCAGAUGGAGCAGAACAGCCAGACGCAUCAAGUUCAUUUAUCCAGCUUAGCUACUCGGGAACAACCCACCAUUCAACUUCACGUCACGUACCACAUACUGUUUUUAUAACCACGACAAUCAUGUAAAGUUUUAUUAAGCUUUACGACAUACGAGAUAAGGGAUAUACGAGAAAUCUAGUUAGGUGAUAAGCAUUAUGGGAUGGAUUUCUCUUAGUUAGAAACAGCAUGCAUCUUGCUAUCUAAAAAUAAGAAGCUUUAACGGACAGAUUGUUAUUAAACCUGCUGGAUCGGUAUUUUAAAGCAUCUUAAUGAUACUUGACCAGUGAUAGCAAAAUAUUUUUGAUGAAACGGAAACAAACAAAAGUAAUGCAUGAUUAAAAAACUUCAUGUUCAAGUACGUAACAAAGAGUGGAAGAAAAAUUCGAAUAACUGGUAUAAAACCAGAUUUUACAAAACGUACAAUCACUGAGCAACAUCCUGACCACACCCUCAAUCCUCAUUAUAUUAAAACAUCACAAUAUCAGUGCAAUAUUAAUAUCAUAUCGUCAUAUCCGCCACACUGACUCGAUGAUAAUACUGAACAUUGUGAUAUAUUGGGUAAUCAACUAAUAUCAUUAAUUAUGCCAUAGUACUGGGCGACAUGAUGAGACAAUAUCCAUAUCGUGAAACAUUAUGAAACAGGACACUUUUCUGAGAUACAGCUGACAUGGUCCAUAUUUUUAUAAUGCUUAUUUAUACAGAAUGUUUAGUAAUGUGUUAAAUGAUUUCUUUUUAUAGAUGUUAAUAAAAGUAACAUUCAGUUUUGCAAGUACUUUGUUAGCAAAACAAAAUAUUGUGAUAAAUAUAUCGCUGAAAUGUCUUCGUACUGCGAUUGGAUAUUUGUUAUAUAUCUCUACUGUCUCCAAGUCUCUACUAUUCCACUACAGAAUAAAGUUAAUAAUGUUUAUUCAUGUUCAUUACAGAUUGUCUCAUCGUCAUACAUUAUAUCAAGCGAUACAUCGUCCUACCUCUAAACACAGACGACCUGCUGCUUAGUAAAUUUACAGAAUAAAUAACAAACUGCAACAUUUUCAAAAAGUCAGAUUUCUUUUUUUUUUUCUGUAUUAAACAUUGAAGAGCAGACAGCUGUGUGCGAGCGUUGUGUCUCUCUUUCAGAGAUUCACAAACAGCCACUUAACCUUUCAAUCUGAGGGCGUAAAUACUUCUAAAGCCACUCAGAAUCGACGCGCUGAAAGUCAACGACGGCUCGUGAUGAAUAACUGGAUCCUCUGUAAGGAACUCAGAGCUCAGCUCGGCUCACAUCAUUUCACAUCCAAAUCUGACAUGUUAUUAUUUUUAGUCUGUUUAGAAAAAAUGAAAACAUGGAAACAUAAGUGCAAACUCUGCAGGUGAGCUGUUUAAUCUGUAACACUGCAUUCAUUUAGAUAAUAAAACACUUAUGGAUGUGCUGGUAUAGAAAAAUCAACCCUUAUAUCACUGCAAUGUGUCAAACAACAUAUAAUGGGUUUUUUUUUUAAAAUCCACUUAUGGUUAUAUUUAAUGUUUGUGAAACAAGUUAGUCUCUGUUCUCACCUACAUUAUAGCAGCUAUAACCAGUUGCUCCUUUUACCAGCCUCUCUUUAUUCUCUCCCAAAUUCAAUGACACUAAAAUAUAUAAUUAAAAAAAUGCAAAGAAACCACAAACUCCUCUGUCCUGAAGAUGUCAGAAAACUGACUGUUGCAAAGCACUGACGACUCCUUCCAUAAAGGUUACUUUUUAUUUAUCUGUUACUAUAGAAACGAUAAUGUAUUAGAACGAGCGCAUCAACAUAAACCUGCGCUACUGUCAGAGCUGAUCUUAUAGAGAAUUAAAUCAACACCUGAUGACCAAGCAGAAUACAGACAUCAGCGAUCAACAAAAAUGAACAAAAAUAAAAGUGAAAUGUAGUGCACUAAGCAUUUAUUAUUAUGUCAAUAUCAAGUUUAUUAUAAGCCCAAAGGGCAAUUUUUGGUGCAGCAUAAAAUUUGCAACCCCAUCAUACAAAAAACACAAACAGCAAACAACAUUCCGACAUCUUACAAAUUUAAAAGCCUUACAGCAAUGGGAAUAAAAGAAUUGUCUAUACCGAUUGCUCUUAAGUUUAGGCAUCCUAUAACUAUAACAGAAGGAAGCAUUUCGUUGCAUAUUCAUGGAACACUGGAGGAGUAUAAUCUGCAAGAAGCACUAACUUUCUGUAAGACAAACUGUUCAAAGCGAUUUGGUCUGCUUAAUGCCAAUAAUCAUACUACCAUGGUUGACAAUGCCAUUCAACGAGCUUCUACGUUUAACGUUUACAUUACCAUAGCAACAGCAUAUAGAGAAACAAAGUACGGAUUCAAUAUAAGAUUUAUAUUUACAGUGCAUGGUCAUAAGAGUCCUACUGAUAUUAAAAGUAGAGCGCCUUUGAAUAUAGCAUUAAGUACAAUAACAAAAUAAUAAUAAUAAUAAUAAUAAUAAUAAUAAUAAGCAACCAUUCAAGACAAAUGCAAUAUACAUCUCAAUACCAGUGAUUAUAUUCUACAUACAUAUACGAAUAGGCUACAACAUGACCACGUGACUACAAUACACAGUGUUUAAAUUAACCGUAAUUAAAUAACAUGCACUAAUUUAGCACACAGAAUUAACCCAUUACACAAUAACACCUACACAACAAAGCAUGCAAACUCAUCGUGCAGCUCUGACAAUAAUACCCCAAGCUGUCUUGCAGUUUUUUUUAAGGGUAAAUCACUGCAGAAUUCGGAUUAAUAACCGAAUUAUCUCACCUUUUUUACAGCACGUGCGCAGCGGCGUCACGAGGAAACGGUGCAGGAAGGAAAGCGAUUUUUUUAUUUAUUUACUUAUUCGUUUGUCGUUUAAAAUUGCUUAACAUGAGAUUCCGAGCGGUUCAGAAAAGUAGGCGACUGAAUUGAAAAUUCAGAGAAUUCUGUUGUUUAAAAAAUGACAUUUAAAAAAAGCAGCUUCACUUUGUAAGAGGUCUUAAUGAGAAAUAACACUUAAUAACAGCAGCAAAAAUAAACAAGUGCAUCGAUUUCCUGAUGAAAUAUAUCCUCCAAGAAGGUCUUAAUGACGGAAAAUAAUGAAUGCAUGCGAAUUUACACUGAUAUGAAUGUAAAUAAGCAGGGAAAAAAUAUUCAAGUAGAGUUAGUUGGUCAUCAGCUAUUUAUAUAUUUAUGUCCUGUGCGAAAUAAUAAUAACAACAAUAAUAAUAAGGAGGAGAAAAGGAAAAACAAACAGCAGUAAGUUAAUGAGUAUUCUGAUAAUCACUGUUGUAUAAUAAUAAUAAUAAUAAUAAUAAUAAUAAUAAUAAUAAUAAUGGGUAAAAGCGAUAUUUAUUCAAUAUUUAAAAAGAAGAGAAAUAAACAGCGGGACGAAGCGCGUCUCUUGACAUUUAAACCUCCGACGAUGCUAACAAGCUAAGCCACGCCAAUAAAGUGCAAAAGGACAGAUUGCUAGGUUUAGCUUCGAGCCUCGUGCGGUUCACGAACACGAUCAAGUCGGAAACAUAUCGAGAUAUAAUCCAGAAAUAUCACAAAAACGUGGAAAUAUCCAGCUGUAAACAGGGAGUGUCCAAAACGGAAGCGUUCAGAGUAAACGUUAGAGAAUUCACUCUGCCUUUAAUUCUGUAUUCCAACAAAUAGCCCGCCUCCCUUGCGCCUCCAUUGGCUGAGAGGUUUCCGCCUCCUGAGAUCCGAUUGGAUGGUUAUACGCACUGUCCAAUCAGAGAGCUUCUCGCAGGCUCGGCUCGCAUACAGGCCGUGGUUUGUAUAGAACGAGUGAGGAAAAAGUGACGCCUUCUUCUAUUCUGUUCAGCCAUUUUGUUUAGUAAGGGCGUUAAAAAAAAAGGCUGGACCACGUGACAUCAUGUUGACCAAUUAGAAGGCACGGAUUUUGAUACGACACUAGGAUAGGUCAACGCGACGCUAUAUACGGUGCGUCGAUCGUGUGUGGAAAUUUUCACAGAAUUUCAAACAUCUAUUCGUACCGGAG